AGUGAACGCUGGCGGUAGGCCUAACACAUGCAAGUCGAACGGCAGCACAGUAAGAGCUUGCUCUUACGGGUGGCGAGUGGCGGACGGGUGAGGAAUACAUCGGAAUCUACUUUUUCGUGGGGGAUAACGUAGGGAAACUUACGCUAAUACCGCAUACGACCUACGGGUGAAAGCAGGGGAUCUUCGGACCUUGCGCGAUUGAAUGAGCCGAUGUCGGAUUAGCUAGUUGGCGGGGUAAAGGCCCACCAAGGCGACGAUCCGUAGCUGGUCUGAGAGGAUGAUCAGCCACACUGGAACUGAGACACGGUCCAGACUCCUACGGGAGGCAGCAGUGGGGAAUAUUGGACAAUGGGCGCAAGCCUGAUCCAGCCAUACCGCGUGGGUGAAGAAGGCCGUCGGGUUGUAAAGCCAUUUUGUUGGGAAAGAAAAGCAGCAGGUUAAUACCCCGCUGUUCUGACGGUACCCAAAGAAUAAGCACCGGCUAACUUCGUG
rnacentral:rRNA from 1 species